CCUACGGGAGGCAGCAGUGGGGAAUAUUGCACAAUGGGGGAAACCCUGAUGCAGCGACGCCGCGUGAGUGAAGAAGUAUUUCGGUAUGUAAAGCUCUAUCAGCAGGAACGAGACAAGACGGUACCUGACUAAGAAGCCCCGGCUAACUACGUGCCAGCAGCCGCGGUAAUACGUAGGGGGCAAGCGUUAUCCGGAUUUACUGGGUGUAAAGGGAGCGUAGACGGCUUGGCAAGCCAGAUGUGAAAGGCUGGGGCUCAACCCCCGUACUGUAUUUGGAACUGUCAUGCUAGAGUGUCGGAGAGGCAGGCGGAAUUCCUAGUGGAGCGGUGAAAUGCGUAGAUAUUAGGAGGAACACCAGUGGCGAAGGCGGCCUGCUGGACGAUGACUGACGUUGAGGCUCGAAAGCGUGGGGAGCAAACAGGAUUAGAUACCCCAGUAGUC
rnacentral:rRNA from 1 species